rnacentral:rRNA from 1 species
AAUGACUCUCGGCAACGGAUAUCUCGGCUCUCGCAUCGAUGAAGAACGUAGCGAAAUGCGAUACCUGGUGUGAAUUGCAGAAUCCCGUGAACCAUCGAGUCUUUGAACGCAAGUUGCGCCUGAAGCCAAUAGGCUGAAGGCACGUCUGCCUGGGCGUCACGC